rnacentral:rRNA from 3 species
UACGUUCCCGGGCCUUGUACACACCGCCCGUCACACCAUGGGAGUGGGUUGCAAAAGAAGUAGGUAGCUUAACCUUCGGGAGGGCGCUUACCACUUUGUGAUUCAUGACUGGGGUGAAGUCGUAACAAGGUAACCGUAGGGGAACCUGCGGUUGGAUCACCUCCUUA